ACGUUGAAAAUGAAUCACUUUCAAGCGUGCGAGCGAGCGAGCAAGCAAGCAGAAGCGCGUAAGCCGAAAAAGAGUUAUCUGUUUACCUUAUAAUUAAAUACUGUUAUCAAUAAAAAAAUUGCAUAUUUCCCGAGCAGUAGCAAAGUAUCUUGCACGCGCAUACAUAUAUCGGAAUAAUCAAUCGGAAAUCGUGUGAAAUCUGCUUAGACAACAACACAGAGCUUCUUUGUGCGCAGCGCUAACGAGUGCAUACAAACAAACACAUACACACACAUUGAGUACUCUGCAAACAUUGUUGCACAGCAACAGCAACGGCAACCGCAGAUAGCAGCAGAAAUUUCUGUAGUAAAACGGAAGUUGUUGUCGUAGUCAGCUUCGCGGAAGAAGCACGAAUAGAGGCUAGUGCUAACGUAAUUUUUCUCCAAAGCAACAAUUUGACGACAUUUAAAAAAAAACGCACCUUUGCUACCUGAGCAAAGUAAACGCAAGCGAAAGAGCGCGAGAGGAAGAGAGAAAUAACUCUCAUACAGCUAGAGUUCUUCGAUGGCACAAAGGUUAUCAGCAAUAACAAAGAAUAGUAACAGUAGCAACAA